GCUAAGCCCUAAACAUUGAUAAGCUAACAUACUAUGCUUUCCGCCAGAGAACUACAAGUGAAAAACUUGAAACUCAAAGGACUUGGCGGUGUCCCAUAUCGGCCUAGAGGAGCCUGUCCUAUAAUCGAUACCCCCCGUUUCACCCAACCUCCACUAGCACCCAACAGCCUAUAUACCGCCGUCGACAGUCUACCCCAUGAGGGUUUAAUAGUAGACAAAAUAGCAUGCCCGCUAAUACGUCAGGUCAAGGUGUAGCAAAUGUGGCGGAAGAGAUUGGCUACAUUUUUUAUUUUAAAAAACACGAAAGGCACUAUGAAACCCUGCAUGAAGGUGAAUUUAGUAGUAAAAUAGAUAAGAGUGUCUAUUUUAACAACGCUCUGGGACGCGCACACACCGCCCGUCACCCUCCUCGUCUACAUCUAACCAAACAUAUAUAAACCAAUAUAAAUAUAAUUAGAGGAGGU
rnacentral:rRNA from 1 species